GAUGAACGCUGGCGGCGUGCCUAACACAUGCAAGUCGAGCGAAGCACUUACUUUAGAUUUCUUCGGAAUGACGAAGUUUGUGACUGAGCGACGGACGGGUGAGUAACGCGUGGGCAACCUGCCCUGUACAGGGGAUAACAGUUAGAAAUGACUGCUAAUACCGCAUAAGCCCACAGCUUCGCAUGAAGCAGUGGGAAAAACUCCGGUGGUACAGGAUGGGCCCGCGUCUGAUUAGCUAGUUGGUAAGGUAACGGCUUACCAAGGCGACGAUCAGUAGCCGACCUGAGAGGGUGACCGGCCACAUUGGGACUGAGACACGGCCCAAACUCCUACGGGAGGCAGCAGUGGGGAAUAUUGCACAAUGGGGGAAACCCUGAUGCAGCGACGCCGCGUGAGCGAUGAAGUAUUUCGGUAUGUAAAGCUCUAUCAGCAGGGAAGAAAGUGACGGUACCUGACUAAGAAGCCCCGGCUAACUACGUG
rnacentral:rRNA from 1 species